rnacentral:rRNA from 1 species
AUUGAACGCUGGCGGCAUGCCUUACACAUGCAAGUCGAACGGUAACGGGCCUUCGGGUGCCGACGAGUGGCGAACGGGUGAGUAAUGUAUCGGAACGUACCUUUCAGUGGGGGAUAACGUAGCGAAAGUUACGCUAAUACCGCAUAUUCUGUGAGCAGGAAAGCAGGGGAUCGCAAGACCUUGCGCUGAUUGAGCGGCCGAUAUCAGAUUAGCUAGUUGGUGAGGUAAAGGCUCACCAAGGCGACGAUCUGUAGCGGGUCUGAGAGGAUGAUCCGCCACACUGGAACUGAGACACGGUCCAGACUCCUACGGGAGGCAGCAGUGGGGAAUUUUGGACAAUGGGCGAAAGCCUGAUCCAGCAACGCCGCGUGCGCGAUGAAGGCCUUCGGGUUGUAAGCGCUUUAGUAGGAGAUGAGAAAGGACAGUAUCCUCUGAAUAAGCCUCGGCGAACUACGUAGCCAGACAGCCGACGGUAAACGUAAGCGUG